rnacentral:lncRNA from 1 species
AAAAAUCUCACUCUCUCUCUCUCUCUCUCUCUCUCAAUGGCCAUCAGGCACCGGAGGAGAAGAUAAGGAGGGAUCUUUUUCCUAGAUCAGUUUCUAGUUUUCUUUCUCAAGCUUGGUUAGUCUUCGCUUCCUUCUUGUUCUUGUGCUUUUUCCUCUCCUUUUUCUCUUUCUCCUUUUAUGUUUCUUCUCUGUUGCUUUUGUUGACAUUAUUCUUCUUCUUUGUUUUCAAAUUGGAAAAAGGACAUUGCAGCAUUGCUUUUGGCUUCUAUAUGAGUAGGUUGUGAUGAAUCCUGGACAAGGGUUUUGAUACCAUAUCAAGUUGGCUGUAUUUUCUUGAUGGCGAGGCAAUCUUGUUCUUUUAGAGGUGAUCUUUUGCAGGCAUUUUGAUUUAUUAAUUAUCAAGAAUGGCGGAAUCUAAGCCUCCCUCUGCCCUCUUCCCCUUCCCUGCUUUUCUAAUUCCUAGGCUUUUUAUUUUUCAACAUCCUAUCUUCUAGGGUUACUGCAAUUUCUUUUUAUGCUUAAUCUUGCUGCUUAACAACUCAUUAGCAACAUAGGAUUCCAGGAGCCCCUCUUCUC